rnacentral:rRNA from 1 species
UAAUUCAGUGCGGCGGGCUCUUUAAGUGCUAAUAGUGAAAGCCUUCGGCUCAACCGAAGAAGUGCAUUGGAAACUGGGAGACUUGAGUGCAGAAGAGGACAGUGGAACUCCAUGUGUAGCGGUGAAAUGCGUAGAUAUAUGGAAGAACACCAGUGGCGAAGGCGGCUGUCUGGUCUGCAACUGACGCUGAGGCUCGAAAGCAUGGGUAGCGAACAGGAUUAGAUACCCUGGUAGUCCAUGCCGUAAACGAUGAUUACUAAGUGUUGGAGGGUUUCCGCCCUUCAGUGCUGCAGCUAACGCAUUAAGUAAUCCGCCUGGGGAGUACGACCGCAAGGUUGAAACUCAAAAGAAUUGACGGGGGCCCGCACAAGCGGUGGAGCAUGUGGUUUAAUUCGAAGCUACGCGAAGAACCUUACCAGGUCUUGACAUCUUCUGACAGUCUAAGAGAUUAGAGGUUCCCUUCGGGGACAGAAUGACAGGUGGUGCAUGGUUGUCGUCAGCUCGUGUCGUGAGAUGUUGGGUUAAGUCCCGCAACGAGCGCAACCCUUAUUACUAGUUGCCAGCAUUAAGUUGGGCACUCUAGUGAGACUGCCGGUGACAAACCGGAGGAAGGUGGGGACGACGUCAAAUCAUCAUGCCCCUUAUGACCUGGGCUACACACGUGCUACAAUGGAUGGUACAACGAGUCGCGAGACCGCGAGGUUAAGCUAAUCUCUUAAAACCAUUCUCAGUUCGGACUGUAGGCUGCAACUCGCCUACACGAAGUCGGAAUCGCUAGUAAUCGCGGAUCAGCAUGCCGCGGGUGAAUACGUUCCCCGGGCCUUGUACACACCCGCCCGUCACACCAUGGAGAGUUUGUAACACCCAAAGCCGGGGGGGGUAACCUUUUUAGGAGCUAGCCGUCUAAAGGUGGGACAGAUGAUUAAGGGUGGAAGUCGUAACAAAGGUAGCCGUAGGAGAACUGCGGUGGCGUUUCUCCUUUUUUAUAUAUAUAAAAAAAAAGAAUCCUCCUCUUGGGAGGGG